rnacentral:rRNA from 1 species
UACGUAGGGUGCGAGCGUUGUCCGGAAUUAUUGGGCGUAAAGAGCUCGUAGGCGGUCUGUCGCGUCGGUCGUGAAAACUUGGGGCUUAACCCUGAGCUUGCGGUCGAUACGGGCAUGACUGGAGUUCGGCAGGGGAGACUAGAAUUCCUGGUGUAGCGGUGAAAUGCGCAGAUAUCAGGAGGAACACCGGUGGCGAAGGCGGCAUCCUGGACCGGUAUUGACGCUGAGGCGCGAAAGCCAGGGGAGCAAACGGG